CAUAGUUUAGUAUUUCAUUUUGCAGAACGGAAUGUUGCUUCUCUGACUUAUUUUAAUAGUUAUAAUAUAGUGUAUUGUUGAAGGUGACGUCACUUCCGCCCUUACCAUGCCCACACCUCCUGUCUUCCUUUCCCACACCUAUCAUGGACGUCAUCUCACUUCCUCCCUUGCUGUCAUUUCCUUCCCCGCCCCUGUCAUGGCUGCCUCCAUCAUGAGGCCUACCCCUAUUAUGCUCGUCCCAUUUAGAUAAUUACUGGAACAAUCAUGCCAUUUGUUUCCCUGUAUCAACAAUUUGUCCGUGAUAUAAAAAAAAAAAAAGAAGGUUGCUAAAAUGUAAUUUGCAACUGUGGUGUGAUCUACAAAUGAAAUCUGUUGGACACGAAUAUAAGAGCAUAACAGCUGAUUAUCCAGAUUAAUCUUGCAACAAGGGAAAUAGCCAAAUAAUGCAAGUUAUUUUAAACAUUGUAUCUUUACUCAAUCGAAUCUUGCUAGUUACAGAUCUUAUGUUUACAGUAACAUCCUUUACUUUAAAUGAUGGUUUAGCAUUAGAAGGAUUAGUGACAUGUUUUAUUAACCCAGCCACUACUGGUUGUUUAUUUUAGUUACAGGGUGGUAUAAUUGUUAUAGUCUAUUUAAUAUAAAUGAUAGUACCGCAAUAGUUAAUGUUUUAUCCAAAGACAUAUAGGAACUUUACUUAACUUACUAUUAACCAUUAUUUAUAAUGAUAGACAUGUUCAGACUGCAAAAAAGCUAUGGCUAAUGACAUAGAAAGGGGUUUGAGUCAGUAACACAGCCCAUACAGAGGAGAGCAAACCCGCUGAUGCUUAAUGCCCCUGCCAUGGCAGUGUCUACAGGGAACAAGGGGGGCCACUAGCCACUGUAACUUUACCUAUUGAAGGUCACCCUACUACUUUCCUGGUUUCCUGGUUAACACAGGUGCAUCCCGCAGUGUUCCUAGAGAACAAGACCUGCCUGACUCAUCGUUCCUGCCUGACACCGAUGUCUCUUGUGUUGGUGCUGAUGUCCUAUCCUGCCUCCAAGCAUCCAUCACCCUCACUGCAGACGGCCAGGUUCAAUUAAAUACACCUUUGUCACGAAAAGACACUACAGUUCUUUGUUCCCUUCCCAUUUUACUGUGGAGAUGAUCUACCCACAACAGAACAAUGCUCAAUUAAUCUUCUU